rnacentral:rRNA from 1 species
GAUGAACGCUGGCGGCGUGCCUAAUACAUGCAAGUCGAGCGAACGGGCGAGAAGCUUGCUUCUCUGAUGUUAGCGGCGGACGGGUGAGUAACACGUGGAUAACCUACCUAUAAGACUGGGAUAACUUCGGGAAACCGUAGCUAAUACCGGAUAAUAUUUUGAACCGCAUGGUUCAAAAGUGAAAGACGGUCUUGCUGUCACUUAUAGAUGGAUCCGCGCUGCGUUAGCUAGUUGGUAAGGUAACGGCUUACCAAGGCAACGAUGCAUAGCCGACCUGAGAGGGUGAUCGGCCACACUGGAACUGAGACACGGUCCAGACUCCUACGGGAGGCAGCAGUAGGGAAUCUUCCGCAAAGGGCGAAAGCCUGACGGAGCAACGCCGCGUGAGUGAUGAAGGUCUUCGGAUCGUAAAACUCUGUUAUUAGGGAAGAACAUAUGUGUAAGUAACUGUGCACAUCUUGACGGUACCUAAUCAGAAAGCCACGGCUAACUACGUG